rnacentral:snRNA from 1 species
UUUCUGAAAAUAAAUAAAUUGGAAAAAAAUUGCAACAAUACAGAGAUCAAUGUGGCCCCUACUCAAGGAUGACAUGCAAAUAUGUAAAAGAUUCCAUAUUUUU